rnacentral:misc_RNA from 1 species
ACAAACUUGGUCAUUUAGAGGAAGUAAAAGUCGUAACAAGGUAACCGUAGGUGAACCUGCGGUUGGAUCAUUAAUAGUAAUUUUUGAGUUUGUGUCCUGUUUUUCUUUUUUAAAAAAAGAAACAGUUGAUACACUCAAUUUACACCUGUGCACUUUAUGUAUCUUGGGGUUGAACAACGUUUUAACCCCAACAAAAAGAGUUUAAACCCCUAUUGAUUUAGUCUGAUUUUUAGUUAUUUAAAAUUUUAAACAACUUUUGACAACGGAUCUCUAGGCUCUCGCAUCGAUGAAGAACGCAGC